rnacentral:rRNA from 1 species
UAGGGAAUUCUUCACAAUGAGCGAAAGCUUGAUGGAGCAAUGCCGCGUGAACGAUGAAGGUCUUUAAGAUUGUAAAGUUCUUUUAUUUGGGAAGAAUGACUUUAGCAGGUAAUGGCUAGAGUUUGACUGUACCAUUUUGAAUAAGUGACGACUAACUAUGUGCCAGCAGUCGCGGUAAUACAUAGGUCGCAAGCGUUAUCCGGAUUUAUUGGGCGUAAAGCAAGCGCAGGCGGAUUGAAAAGUCUGGUGUUAAAGGCAGCUGCUUAACAGUUGUAUGCAUUGGAAACUAUUAAUCUAGAGUGUGGUAGGGAGUUUUGGAAUUUCAUGUGGAGCGGUGAAAUGCGUAGAUAUAUGAAGGAACACCAGUGGCGAAGGCGAAAACUUAGGCCAUUACUGACGCUUAGGCUUGAAAGUGUGGGGAGCAAAUAGGAUUAGAUACCCUAGUAGUCCACACCGUAACGAUAGAUACUAGCUGUCGGGGCGAUCCCCUCGGUAGUGAAGUUAACACAUUAAGUAUCUCGCCUGGGUAGUACAUUCGCAAGAAU